UGAGCCAGCCAUAUCACCCUGCAACUCACAACUGGCAACCCACUGAAGCUAAGCAGGUGUGAGCCUGGUCAGUACCUGGAUGGGAGACCUCCUGGGAAAAACUAAGGUUGCUGCUGGAA
ensembl:rRNA 5S_rRNA 5S ribosomal RNA